GAUGAACGCUGGCGGCGUGCCUAAUACAUGCAAGUCGAGCGAACAGACGAGGAGCUUGCUCCUCUGACGUUAGCGGCGGACGGGUGAGUAACACGUGGAUAACCUACCUAUCAGACUGGGAUAACUUCGGGAAACCGGAGCUAAUACCGGGUAAUAUAUUGAACCGAAAGGUUCAAUAGUGAAAGAUGGUUUUGCUGUCACUUAUAGAUGGAUCCGCGCCGCAGUAGCUAGUUGGUACGGUAACGGCUUACCAAGGCGACGAGGCGGAGACGACCUCAGAGGGGGAGCGGCCACCUUGGAACGGAGACUCGUCCCAGACUCCUACGGUAGGCAGCAGUAGGGAAUCUUCCGCAAUGGGCGAAAGCUUGACGGAGCAACGCCGCGUGAGUGAUGAAGGUCUUCGGACGGUAAAACGCUGUUAUUAGGGAAGAACAAAUGUGUAAUUAACUAUGCACGUCUUGACGGUACCUAAUCAGAAAGCCACGGCUAACUACGUG
rnacentral:rRNA from 1 species